rnacentral:rRNA from 1 species
CCUACGGGUGGCUGCAGUAGGGAAUAUUGCGCAAUGGAGGAAACUCUGACGCAGCGACGCCGCGUGGGUGAUGAAGGUCUUCGGAUCGUAAAGCCCUGUCGGAAGGGAAGAAAAAUAGCAUGGCUAACAUCCAUGCUACUUGACGGUACCUUUAAAGGAAGCACCGGCUAACUACGUGCCAGCAGCCGCGGUAAUACGUAGGGUGCAAGCGUUGUUCGGAAUCAUUGGGCGUAAAGCGCGUGUAGGCGGUUAGGUAAGUCAGAUGUGAAAUCCCU